UGUUUUCUUUUUUUUUUUUUUCCCAUGAAGCUCAAAUGUGCCAUCAGGGUGAACUUUGGUUUCUAUUGAACUUUCCAGAGGAAGGUUAGAGAAUUUGCUAUGCUAAGAAGUGCUUGAAUUCAUGUUUUCCCCACACAAACCCCACUUGGUCUACAUGCCAGCAAGUGUUCUUUGCACAGGAGAAAUACACACUAAAAGGGGGUACUUUCAUUUGAGAGCUGAAGCAAAAAUAGAAAAAUGUUUUCCCAAAAUAACAAACUCAAGAAUUUUAUAGAAAUGAAUUGUUACUUAUAUGCCCUGAAGCUUACCAUGACCUCCCCUUUGCUACCAGGAGACUGAAAAGUCUGAUACCACAGAGAAGUCUGAUGCUACAGAGGAGAAAUCAGAAGGCACAGGAGAUGAACCUGAUUCCAGGGAUGAAAAAUCUGAUGCCACAAAUGAAACUGAGGCACACACAGAAGCCAAGGAAGGUGAAGGGGCUCCUGAAGAGGCUCAGUCUGACCAGACACCACCAGAAGGUCAACAGGAAGGCGAGGAAGAACAUGCAGCAACAGGGGUAUAGUAUACCUGGCAAUUUUAUUAUCAUAUUAUGUUUGUCUGUAUUUAAUUCCUUUUCAGUCCCUUUGCUUCACUCAAAAGCUGGUAAAUUCUUAUUCAUGAAAGUAAAUACAUCACAGUCAUAUUCAGCUAGAGAUAAUGAUUGGUCCUAUCAUUGUGUUAUUGACUGGGAACAAAGAUGGGCCUUUAAUCAUUAAAAUGUAAAUGGAAGAUAAAUUGUCUGUCACAGAGUCUUCAAUAAAAUUUGCUAAGGACUACCAUGACAAGUCUGUCUUUGAUAAUCACUGACUGACACCAUGCUGUGAUUGCAUUUUCAGUGUGAAAAACUCAUUCUGACAAUUUAGGCAGUUUUUCCCAUAAAGGAGAUAUUUCCCUCACGAGAAUCUGUAAGACCCAGGAGCAAAUCCUCAAACACUUUUCUGCUUUGCCCAAACCUCCAGGAUCACCCAGUGCCACCCCAGUGCCACCAGCAUCACCCCAACCCUGUCCCCAAGGGCCACAUCCAGCCUGUCCUUUGCUUUGCCCAAACCUCCAGGAUCCCCCAGUGCCACCCCAGUCCCUGUCCCCAAGGGCCACAUCCAGCCUGUCCUGAGCACUGCCCCAGACAGUGACUGCAAACCUCCCUGGGCAGCUCAUCCCAAUCCUGACCACUCUGCCAGGGACAUUUUCUUUCCCAAUCUCCACCCUGAGCCUGCCCUGGUGCCAUUUGAGGCCAUUUCCUCUGCUCCUUUCCCUGCCCCUCCUGUCAGGGAGUUGUGCAGAGCCACAAGGUCCCCCUGAGCCUCCUUUUCUCCAGGCUGAGCCCCUUUCCCAGUUCAGCUGCUUCUCCCAGGAUGUGUUUUCCUGAGCCUAAAGCUCCUGGACCCAUGAGCAAAGUGCAGGGGUUUCUGGAGAGGCUGGUGAGGGCCAAGCCUGGCACCACCAACUAAUGCUUCAAGCAAGAGAAAUAACCCUUUUUUUUCCCCCUGUAAAACUUGAAUUUUGGAUGGAAGUUGGUAAUAUGUGAAAGAUGUGCCUUGUCUGUGGGCUCUCCUGGCCCUGUGUCAGAGUUCUCAUGAGAGAAAAAAGGCACCUUUCCUUGGGGGGAAAUGCCCAGAGAGGCAACACUCCUUUGGCAUAAUUCUAACCCACAGAUGUUUGUAUUACAUUUCUGGUUUUGCAGGAGGGAUUCUUUAGUGCAAUGUUUUUCCCUGAAAAAAAAACAAUUGAAACCAGGGAUCUGGUUCCAACAGCUCCAUUCCCAAGCAGAUAUUGAAGCAGGAUUUCACUUCAGCAGCUCAGGUGUGACUCCUGCACAGACAGGAGGUGCCUGAGGGGGCACAAAAGGUCUGUGCUGCUCAUGUACAACCUGCAGCCCUGACUGAAAGCUCGUUUUUGAUUCUUUGAUUGGUUAUUUGAUUAUGCCAGGAAGAAGUUCAUGUCACUUUUGCAGCCUAAGCAGUUUGUGAAGGGGUGGCAGAUUGAGAUAAAGCUGAUUAUACCCAUGGGAGUGCCUUAGGCCAAGAGAUUGCUGCAAGAGGAGCAGAGGAGCCCACAAAGCAAUUUCCAGCUAUUUUUCAGAGUAGAGCUUCAUUUACUCUAGAAAGAGAAUAAACAGAGAUUGUUGUCUGUGUUACACAAAUUCAAGCUUUCAUGUUGCUGUUGAUUGAAGCAAAGGGCUGUUGUCUUUCAAUUGAGUCAUUUCUCCUGCAUGAAAGAGAGAAAUAAUAAUUUUUGAGAUGGAAACAAGGCUAUAAUAUCUGAUUCCAGAUGAUUUUCAGAUCAUUCAGGAGUCUAGUUCCUGUGCCACGAAUCUUUAGUUGUUUCAUGCUCCAGGAAAGUGUGUAAUUAAAAAUAUUAAACUUAUUUAGUCACAUUUACACAUAUUUCAUAUUCUCAUUUGGAUUUUGAGCAUCUUUUUGCAGCUUAACCACGUGUUAUAACCUCCCUAAGAAGAGAGUUCUUUUAUUCCAGCACAUGCCUAUUAACUCCAUAAAAUAAAGCCCUGCCAUGUUGAGAUUAAAAUCUCCAUAUAUUAAUUAGAUUCUCAAAGAAUUAUUGCAUUUACUAGAAAUAGAACCGUUGUAAAAGCAGAGCUCUGAAUGUCAAGAUUUUAUUUUUUCUUUCAAGUCUUGUAUGGUAACUAUAAAUAUUUUCUAUUAAAAUAAAGGAAGAAGAAAAGCAAGGAGAGGGAGAAGAAAAGGAAGAGGUGGAGGAGCAGGAAGAGUCUUAGUACAGUCCCCUAUGACACAACAUUUCUUGAACAGGUUUUCAGGUAAAUAUUGAGACAUCAAGCACAGAUUCUGAAUACCCUUACAGUAAUAUAAAUUUGCAAUUUUUGUAAUCAUUGUUUUGGAUGGGCAAAGUGUCCAUGCUGAUGACUCAAAAGUGGAUUUAACUGUUGCAGCUUAUCUUUCACAUGGAAUAAGAAUUCUUCCCUCUCUUUUACUCAGCUUUUCCACUGCAGUUUGUAGGAGCUCCAUGUCUCACAUUAAUUCCUCUCUCAAAUUUAGGUGAAAAGUUAAAAUACUGAUAAGAGAGAGGAGCCUGACAAGAAAUAUGACUCAGUAUAAAAUUGCUGAAAAUAGGCCAAAUUUCAAACUGCCAAACAGGAAGCAGCUGGAAGGCAGAGUUUGUCCUGUACAGGUGUGUGAGCACACCAGCACUGCUCAACUUCUGUCAGCAUUUCUAAUUUUAGUUUUCAGGUUUUCUUCUUCCUCUGUUCCUUCUCCCCUGCACUGAAAUACAGAUCAGAAAAUCACUUAUUGGGGAGAAACUGAAACUUGUAAGAAAGUUGGAAUUUCCAGCAGAUUUUCCUUUGGGUGAUGGGAUUUCCUCCAGAUCACAGAUACAAAGUGCUCUGUCCAGGAUCCACAGAAUCAUGGGAUGGUUUGGGAUGGAAGGAAUCUUAAAUCUCAUCCAGUGCCACCCCUGCCAUGGCAGGGACACCUCCCACUGUCCCAGGCUGCUCCAAGCCCCAGUGUCCAACCCAUCCUGGGCUGGAUUCCCAGCUGACUCAGACUCUGACUCUGCCAAAAGUUUCACCAGCCAGGUGCUGGUGGGAUUUCCCAGCACCUCAACAGACCAGGAAAUCCAUCACUUCUCUCAUGCUGCCACUCCCAAAUCUGGGUUCAUCUCCUGCAUGGGAAUUAAUUCAUCACAACAUUGUGCAGAGUUCAGAGCUGUAACACCACAGAAGUGCUGAGUUCUAAUUAAUUUUUUUUUUUUUUGCUGUUCAGGAAGCACCAGCUGGAGCCACCCCACCAAAAAAAAAGGAAAAUCCCUUUCUCAGCAAAGCACCACCACCUUUUGUGCCUGUAUGAACAUAAAAACAUAACCAGAGCACAGACACCACUCUGUCCCACCUGUAGCCUUUAUAUAUAUAUUUGGUAUUCCAGUUGUUGUUAAAAUGGAUCUCAUGUCUGACAGAUAGUAUUUCAGUCAGUUGUUCUGUGUUGGGAUAGUUUUGUCCAUGUCACAUUUAGCCUGUGAGCUCCCCAGGGCAGGAACCAUGUCUGUCUGCAUGUCCAAGCACUGCUGCCCCUCAGUGUGACUGCACUCACACCAGUGACAUCUUCAGAGGAAAAGAAAUUCAGCACUGAAAACUGCAGAGGCUUCCUGUACACAAGCCAUGUGAAUCACUUCUCCCUCAGCUGGCAUUUGAAAUGAUUGAGAUUCCCAUUGGGCAGCAGUUUCAAUAAAUUUGUUUUCUGUCAUAUCUGUUCUUUGUCUGCAGAAACAUUAACUGUGUGAGCAAAUGUUUUCUCCAUUGUCACGGUUGUGGGCUGUACUAAGUCAUGGAAUCAUAGACUCAUGGAGAGGUUUGGGUUGGAAGGGACCUUAAAGAUCAUCCAGUUUCCACUAUCCCAGGGUGCUCAGAGCUCCAUCUAACCU
rnacentral:lncRNA from 1 species